AAUAUACUCCCUCCGUCCGGAAAUACUUGUGAUCAAAAUGGAUAAAAUGAGAUGUAUCUAGACAUAUUUUAGUUUUAAAUGCAUCUUUUUUAUCCAUUUAGAUGACAAGUAUUUUUGGACGGAGGGAGUACUAA
rfam:Triticum aestivum genome assembly, contig: Triticum_aestivum_CS42_TGACv1_scaffold_327817_4BS